rnacentral:rRNA from 1 species
UGAGUAACGCGUUGGGGACCUACCCCAAAGUGUGGGAUAACAGUCCGAAAGGAUUGCUAAUACCGCAUGUGGUCUUCGGAUUUAGAAACUGAUGACUAAAGGAGCAAUUCGCUUCGGGAGGGACCUGCGUCCCAUCAGCUAGUUGGUGAGGUAACGGCUCACCAAGGCGACGACGGGUAGGGGACCUGAGAGGGUGGCCCCCCACAAUGGAACUGAAACACGGUCCAUACACCUACGGGUGGCAGCAGUAGGGAAUAUUGCACAAUGGGCGAAAGCCUGAUGCAGCAACGCCGCGUGUGCGAUGAAGGCCUUCGGGUCGUAAAGCACUUUUCUGGGAGAUGAGAAAGGACAGUAUCCCAGGAAUAAGUCUCGGCUAACUACGUGCCAGCAGCCGCGGUAAAACGUAGGAGGCAAGCGUUAUCCGGAUUCACUGGGCGUAAAGCGCGUGCAGGUGGCCGCGGUAAGUUAGGCUUGAAAUCUCCCGGCUCAACUGGGAGAGGUCGUCUAAUACUACCGUGCUUGAGAGC